GCCACGGUAGCUCAGUCGGUAGAGCAGGGGACUGAAAAUCCCUGUGUCGGCGGUUCAAUUCUGUCCCGUGGCACCA
rnacentral:tRNA from 1 species